rnacentral:rRNA from 1 species
UGCCAGCCGCCGCGGUAAUACAGAGGGUACAAGCGUUAAUCGGAAUUACUGGGCGUAAAGCGCACGUAGGUGGUUAAAUCAGUCAGAUGUGAAAUCCCUGGGCUCAACCUGGGAACUGCAUUUGAUACUGUUUAGCUAGAGUAUGGUAGAGGGAAGUGGAAUUUCCGAUGUAGCGGUGAAAUGCGUAGAUAUCGGAAGGAACACCAGUGGCGAAGGCGGCUUUCUGGCCUAACACUGACACUGAUGCGCGAAAGCGUGGGUAGCAAACAGGAUUAGAUA